CAGCCGCCACGGGAAUACGUAGGUGGCAAGCGUUGUCCGGAUUUAUUGGGCGUAAAGCGAGCGCAGGCGGUCAAUUAAGUCUGAUGUGAAAGCCCCCGGCUCAACCGGGGAGGGUCAUUGGAAACUGGUUGACUUGAGUGCAGAAGAGGAGAGUGGAAUUCCACGUGUAGCGGUGAAAUGCGUAGAGAUGUGGAGGAACACCAGUGGCGAAGGCGACUCUCUGGUCUGUAACUGACGCUGAGGAGCGAAAGCGUGGGGAGCGAACAGGAUUAGAUACCCGGGUAGUCCCUGUCUCUUAUAC
rnacentral:rRNA from 1 species